AGAAUGCAGAACAGUGUCAAGUGGAACAAUGUUGUUACAUCUGGUAGAUUCCCUGGGAUCAGCAGAGUCUAUAGAGAAGAAAUGAUAGUUGUAUGCUGUGAACCUAAGACCUGGAAGCCAGCCACAGGUUUUGUGGACUGAAAUAAAAGAGUCUGGGUAAAGGUUAAACGAAGGAAUUUAUUCGCUAAUCAAAGUGAGGAAUUCUCAUCCUGGGAAACAGUCCAACAGAGUAUUCGGAGGAACUUCUCCAAGGCCUAGAGAUGAAUUCCAUAUUCCAAUACUGCAAAGUGUACAAUUAUCUGUAUGACACCGAAAAAGAAGCAGUACAGCUUAGUGGGAAGAGCACGGACUUGGACGUAGUGACUUCUCAGCCAGUAUAGACAAAGAGUUGACCCUGGAUGACUCUAGUGAGUCCCGAAUCAAAUGGCUUGGCUUUUAUCAAACCCCCUCUGGGAGAAAUGACUCCAGUAUUGAUGGGGACAUCCCAACCCAGGCUUCACCCUGAUCUGCAUAUGGCCUGGGCUUCAGCUGUGAGAGUUGUGGUGGGACGCCAUCAUGCUCUAACUCUGAAGUUCUUAGAAGAUGCUCAGGCUUUUGCUAUAGAAAAACAAAGGAAGAAUGGGUACAGUGAGCCAGACUCUGGUUUGUGCUGUGAAUCCUGUUGAUGAAUCUGCAUGGAGAAAGUCAAAGUGAACCAUAUUGCUCAUUAGCAAGUCAGAAUGCCUGACUCAUGCUGAGCACAGGAGGACAACUGAGGAAUGAGACCCUGGCUGAAGGGCCCAUCAUGGUGUCAUCUUUUCCUUUGUUGGAGGCCUGAUGGUAUCAACUCUCUCUCCAUGCUCGCCCACCAUGUGUGUGGUGUCUGUCAAUGCAGGUAUCACAGAUCACUGAUGAAGAGGUGUGUGUGUGGAGGCAGAAGUCUAGAGAGAUCAUCUGAGCCAAUUAGGGAGGAGUAUUUCCCCUGGAAUGAUCCUUCAACAUCCAUGUGAAUUUUUGGCGAAGUCUCCUUGGUCAUGCUGAAGACUUCCCAUGCUGAAGACAUGACUUUGGGGCAGUUUGCAGGACUACCUGGCAUGUACCACAUGUGUUGGGUUUUCUUCAUUCCCCAUUUUGUUUUGCUUUGCUUUCCAAUAUCAAAGCACUCUAAGCUACUAGACAUAGCUUCUAUCCAAUGACUUCAGAUGAACAAUUUCCAGAUGUGCUAUUUGUAGUCUGGCCAAAAUUUAAUAGUUGUAGAGCAAAGAUACAAAGGUCCCCAGUCCCUAGAGGCACUAUAGCAUCACAGUGUAGACUGCAAGCCCGGGAGCCAGACUGCCUGGGAUUGAAUCCUGGCUCUACCACUUGGGUAAGCUAUUGAACUUCUUUGCUCCUCAGUUUUCUCAUCAAUAAAACAGUGAUAAUGAUAGUACCUAACUCACAGGGAUGUUGUGAGGAUUAAAUUAAUUAAUUGUCUUUUUUUUACAAGAGGGUUUGUAGACUAUGUGCCUGCCAAGUGGUAAGUGCGUGAUAAAUGGUAAGCAUUCUUAUGAUUCAAGAAUCCUGUUGGCCACUUCAACAGGACCUCACAGGGUGGGAGUAAGUGGAUGAAUGGGCCUUGAGUAUCAUGGAGAUGCUCAGCUUUAUAGAUCUAGAAAUGUGAUCACCUCAGUGCAAUCAGUUAAGAGGGCACAGGAGAUUGGCCCAUAUAGACUAAACUCUCAAACUCACAAAAGGGUUUAUUGCCCUAUACCAAUGCGUUUAUUUACAGUAAGAUUUAGAACAGGCAAGGGGGCCACCCAGACAUUCAUGUCAGCAUGUCAGUGUACCCUUCCCUAGUAUGAAAAUCUACACGGGAAAUCAAGUUUUAAUUUGAAGGUUGCUUGGUGAGCAUGGAAGUAGAACUUGGUAAACUCAAGCUGUGCGGAUUUAACGUAGUCAUUCCCAAUACAGGAAGAGAAUAUCGCGUAUUUACCUGCAAAAGGGACUGAAACUUCCAGUCCUCUGGUCAGGAAACUCCCUCUUGUGAACACAGCUAACAAAUUCAAACUUAUUUUCUUUUCUCUGGUGCCACACAGAGCAUUCCAUUGUGAUAAUAUACUUUCUUUGGGAUUGUGGAGACUAAAAAGGGGGCAGGGUCAAAGCUUUAGAUAUGCUAAUACAGCAGUUACUUCUGGAACUAUAUUUGAGUCAGGCCCUGGGUAUAUCUGAAAGUUUUUAGACAUUUCGUCUUCAGAUGAGUUUCUUUCACACUGACCUAGGGGAGAGUGGAAUUUCCGGCCCACUGAAUGAGGAAGUGACGCGUUCGAUGCCUAAUAGGAUGGAGGAAUUUGUGUUUACCUGAACUCUUUUAAAGGAAAGCCCUUCGUGGAGUUGAAGAAUCUUUUAUGAGCCACUUGAUGGCAGUGGGGGUGGGGGAC
rnacentral:lncRNA from 1 species